rnacentral:hammerhead_ribozyme from 1 species
AUCCAGCUGACGAGUCCCAAAUAGGACGAAACGCGCAAUCAUACUGAAU